UCCCAUUUAUCACUCCUGGUGUCUUCUUCCACCUUCAAAGCCCGCCGUUGCCCCUCCUCUACUCUAGGCGUCGUCGUCGCACAUCCACUGCCCAGUACAGCACAUCGCCCAUUUGUGCCCAGCACCCACCAUUGCCCCUCCUCUACUCUGGGUCUCACGUUGCCUCGGACCUUACGUCAUUGUCUCUCAUCCUCCGCAAGACAAACAACUUUGCAAGAAUUAGGUAAGUUUCCAUCAGGUAAGUUCCUGCAUCGCCCAUACUUGCUGUCUUCAUCCCAUUCGUUGCAACUUGUUGACUUUGAAGGUAGAUUGGUUGAUGUUCAUAGAGCUUUUACAAAUUAUGGACAAUAUAAAAGGCCAUUAUCUCAAACUUAAAGAGAAUAAAAUGUCGGUUGAUUUGAAAAAUAAUCAUUUUCAAACUUUAUUCCUUUGAUUUGCUGAUGGGAUUUUUGCCUACUGUAGAUUGUAGUUAAAGAGCUUCUUUAUGCAUUAUGCGGGCUAUGCUUUGUAAUAUUUCAUCAAAGAUAUGAUUAGCAAGUGAGAAUCCAGCUUUCACCCAUUUCAUGGCAAGGAUUUCAUCAAGUUAUAUCCUAUGGAUGCAAGAAAUUAAACUAUAUCACCCAAUCGAUGCCUUGACAAUCCCAUAUCUGUGGGAAUUCUUGUUAGGAUUCUCUUAGUUUCCCAUAUUGCAUAUUGAAGUAUUAUGAGGUGCUGGCUCCAGUGGGUCUCUUACAAUUCUGCUUUCUAAUUCUCGAUAAAUAAAUACCAUAGAAAGAAAAAUCACGAAUCUUUUGGAUUUAGAUUCGAUUUUUGUUUUCUUACUACCAUUUUAGAAUCUAAGGUUGUGUCCGUUGGUUUUCUUGGAAUCAUGUCUAACUGCUGAGUUUUGCUUUGAUUUUUGGUGAUUAUGGUGACGAUAAAGAGCUUGAUCGCUACUUGGAUCAGUCAAUUCCUUGCUUGCAUGGGAAUAGCAUUGUUAAUAUAGGCUACGAUGAGAUGCAUGGUGUUUAUGGCGGAGUUGCAUCCAAAGGAUUGUCAGAGGAUUCAUUGAAGAUGUUACUCUUUUUGCAAAGAUUUUGAUUGAAUCUCAUAAUGUUCAUUCAUGUUAUGUAUUUAGAAAACUAAUGUAUUUGUAUAAUUGGAAUGAUUUUAACUUAUGGGAAUCUGUUCUUAUAUUGGCA